AGAGUUUGAUCCUGGCUCAGAUUGAACGCUGGCGGCAGGCCUAACACAUGCAAGUCGAACGGUAACAGGAAGCAGCUUGCUGCUUUGCUGACGAGUGGCGGACGGGUGAGUAAUGUCUGGGAAACUGCCUGAUGGAGGGGGAUAACUACUGGAAACGGUAGCUAAUACCGCAUAACGUCGCAAGACCAAAGAGGGGGACCUUCGGGCCUCUUGCCAUCGGAUGUGCCCAGAUGGGAUUAGCUAGUAGGUGGGGUAACGGCUCACCUAGGCGACGAUCCCUAGCUGGUCUGAGAGGAUGACCAGCCACACUGGAACUGAGACACGGUCAAGACUCCUACGGGAGGCAGCAGUGGGGAAUAUUGCACAAUGGGCGCAAGCCUGAUGCAGCCAUGCCGCGUGUAUGAAGAAGGCCUUCGGGUUGUAAAGCACUUUCAGCGGGGAGGAAGGCGAUAAGGUUAAUAACCUUGUCGAUUGACGUUACCCGCAGAAGAAGCACCGGCUAACUCCGUGCCAGCAGCCGCGGUAAUACGGAGGGUGCAAGCGUUAAUCGGAAUUACUGGGCGUAAAGCGCACGCAGGCGGUCUGUCAAGUCGGAUGUGAAAUCCCCGGGCUCAACCUGGGAACUGCAUUCGAAACUGGCAGGCUAGAGUCUUGUAGAGGGGGGUAGAAUUCCAGGUGUAGCGGUGAAAUGCGUAGAGAUCUGGAGGAAUACCGGUGGCGAAGGCGGCCCCCUGGACAAAGACUGACGCUCAGGUGCGAAAGCGUGGGGAGCAAACAGGAUUAGAUACCCUGGUAGUCCACGCCGUAAACGAUGUCGACUUGGAGGUUGUGCCCUUGAGGCGUGGCUUCCGGAGCUAACGCGUUAAGUCGACCGCCUGGGGAGUACGGCCGCAAGGUUAAAACUCAAAUGAAUUGACGGGGGCCUGCACAAGCGGUGGAGCAUGUGGUUUAAUUCGAUGCAACGCGAAGAACCUUACCUACUCUUGACAUCCAGAGAACUUUCCAGAGAUGGAUUGGUGCCUUUCGGGAACUCUGAGACAGGUGCUGCAUGGCUGUCGUCAGCUCGUGUUGUGAAAUGUUGGGUUAAGUCCCGCAACGAGCACAACCCUUAUCCUUUGUUGCCAGCGGUUAGGCCGGGAACUCAAAGGAGACUGCCAGUGAUAAACUGGAGGAAGGUGGGGAUGACGUCAAGUCAUCAUGGCCCUUACGAGUAGGGCUACACACGUGCUACAAUGGCGCAUACAAAGAGAAGCGACCUCGCGAGAGCAAGCGGACCUCAUAAAGUGCGUCGUAGUCCGGAUUGGAGUCUGCAACUCGACUCCAUGAAGUCGGAAUCGCUAGUAAUCGUGGAUCAGAAUGCCACGGUGAAUACGUUCCCGGGCCUUGUACACACCGCCCGUCACACCAUGGGAGUGGGUUGCAAAAGAAGUAGGUAGCUUAACCUUCGGGAGGGCGCUUACCACUUUGUGAUUCAUGACUGGGGUGAAGUCGUAACAAGGUAGCCGUA
rnacentral:rRNA from 1 species